rnacentral:rRNA from 1 species
UACGUAGGGAGCAAGCGUUGUCCGGAAUCAUUGGGCGUAAAGCGCGCGUAGGCGGCUUUGUAAGUUAGAGGUGAAAGCCCGGAGCUCAACUCCGGAAUUGCCUUUAAGACUGCAUCGCUAGAAUCAUGGAGAGGUGAGUGGAAUUCCGAGUGUAGAGGUGAAAUUCGUAGAUAUUCGGAAGAACACCAGUGGCGAAGGCGACUCACUGGACAUGUAUUGACGCUGAGGUGCGAAAGCGUGGGGAGCAAACAGG